rnacentral:rRNA from 1 species
GGGUUGUGAGGUUAAGCGACUAAGCGUACACGGUGGAUGCCCUGGCAGUCAGAGGCGAUGAAGGGCGUGCUAAUCUGCGAUAAGCGCCGGUAAGGUGAUAUGAACCGUUAUAACCGGCGAUACCCGAAUGGGGAAACCCAGUGUGAUUCGUCACACUAUCAUUAACUGAAUCCAUAGGUUAAUGAGGCGAACCGGGGGAACUGAAACAUCUAAGUACCCCGAGGAAAAGAAAUCAACCGAGAUUCCCCCAGUAGCGGCGAGCGAACGGGGAGGAGCCCAGAGCCUGAAUCAGCAUGUGUGUUAGUGGAAGCGUCUGGAAAGGCGCGCGAUACAGGGUGACAGCCCCGUACACAAAAGCGCAUGUGCUGUGAGCUCGAUGAGUAGGGCGGGACACGUGGUAUCCUGUCUGAAUAUGGGGGGACCAUCCUCCAAGGCUAAAUACUCCUGACUGACCGAUAGUGAACCAGUACCGUGAGGGAAAGGCGAAAAGAACCCCGGCGAGGGGAGUGAAAAAGAACCUGAAACCGUGUACGUACAAGCAGUGGGAGCACCCUUCGGGGUGUGACUGCGUACCUUUUGUAUAAUGGGUCAGCGACUUAUAUUCUGUAGCAAGGUUAACCGUAUAGGGGAGCCGGAGGGAAACCGAGUCUUAAUUGGGCGUUAAGUUGCAGGGUAUAGACCCGAAACCCGGUGAUCUAGCCAUGGGCAGGUUGAAGGUUGGGUAACACUAACUGGAGGACCGAACCGACUAAUGUUGAAAAAUUAGCGGAUGACCUGUGGCUGGGGGUGAAAGGCCAAUCAAACCGGGAGAUAGCUGGUUCUCCCCGAAAGCUAUUUAGGUAGCGCCUCGUGAAUUCAUCUCCGGGGGUAGAGCACUGUUUCGGCUAGGGGGCCAUCCCGGCUUACCAACCCGAUGCAAACUGCGAAUACCGGAGAAUGUUAUCACGGGAGACACACGGCGGGUGCUAACGUCCGUCGUGAAGAGGGAAACAACCCAGACCGCCAGCUAAGGUCCCAAAGUCAUGGUUAAGUGGGAAACGAUGUGGGAAGGCCCAGACAGCCAGGAUGUUGGCUUAGAAGCAGCCAUCAUUUAAAGAAAGCGUAAUAGCUCACUGGUCGAGUCGGCCUGCGCGGAAGAUGUAACGGGGCUAAACCAUGCACCGAAGCUGCGGCAGCGAACGUAUCACCCAAGACAACUUUACGGAGUUGACGAUUGACGGAGCGAAGCGACGUCAAAGCGUUCAUUAAAGUCGAGUUGGCUUAGGGAUACGUUCGUUGGGUAGGGGAGCGUUCUGUAAGCCUGUGAAGGUGUGUCGUGAGGCAUGCUGGAGGUAUCAGAAGUGCGAAUGCUGACAUAAGUAACGAUAAAGCGGGUGAAAAGCCCGCUCGCCGGAAGACCAAGGGUUCCUGUCCAACGUUAAUCGGGGCAGGGUGAGUCGACCCCUAAGGCGAGGCCGAAAGGCGUAGUCGAUGGGAAACGGGUUAAUAUUCCCGUACUUGGUGUUACUGCGAAGGGGGGACGGAGAAGGCUAUGUUGGCCGGGCGACGGUUGUCCCGGUUUAAGCGUGUAGGUGUGUGUUCCAGGUAAAUCCGGUUCACUUUAACACUGAGGCGUGACGACGAGGCACUACGGUGCUGAAGCAACAAAUGCCCUGCUUCCAGGAAAAGCCUCUAAGCAUCAGGUAACACGAAAUCGUACCCCAAACCGACACAGGUGGUCAGGUAGAGAAUACCAAGGCGCUUGAGAGAACUCGGGUGAAGGAACUAGGCAAAAUGGUGCCGUAACUUCGGGAGAAGGCACGCUGACACGUAGGUGAAGUGAUUUACUCAUGGAGCUGAAGUCAGUCGAAGAUACCAGCUGGCUGCAACUGUUUAUUAAAAACACAGCACUGUGCAAACACGAAAGUGGACGUAUACGGUGUGACGCCUGCCCGGUGCCGGAA